rnacentral:rRNA from 1 species
UUGCCAGCAGCCGCGGUAAUACGUAGGGUGCAAGCGUUGUCCGGAAUCAUUGGGCGUAAAGAGCUCGUAGGCGGUCUGUCGCGUCUGCUGUGAAAACCUGGGGCUUAACCCCGGGCCUGCAGUGGGUACGGGCAGACUAGAGUGCGGUAGGGGAGACUGGAAUUCCUGGUGUAGCGGUGAAAUGCGCAGAUAUCAGGAGGAACACCGGUGGCGAAGGCGGGUCUCUGGGCCGUAACUGACGCUGAGGAGCGAAAGCAUGGGUAGCGAACAGGAUUAGAUACCCUGGUAGUCCAUGCCGUAAACGUUGGGCGCUAGGUGUGGGGCUCAUUCCACGAGUUCCGUGCCGCAGCAAACGCAUUAAGCGCCCCGCCUGGGGAGUACGGCCGCAAGGCUAAAACUCAAAGGAAUUGACGGGGCCCCGCACAAGCGGCGGAGCAUGCGGAUUAAUUCGAUGCAACGCGAAGAACCUUACCAAGGCUUGACAUGCAGGGAAAUCUCCCAGAGAUGGGAGGUCCGCAAGGGUCCUGCACAGGUGGUGCAUGGUUGUCGUCAGCUCGUGUCGUGAGAUGUUGGGUUAAGUCCCGCAACGAGCGCAACCCUCGUUCUAUGUUGCCAGCGGGUAAUGCCGGGGACUCAUAGGAGACUGCCGGGGUCAACUCGGAGGAAGGUGGGGAUGACGUCAAAUCAUCAUGCCCCUUAUGUCUUGGGCUUCACGCAUGCUACAAUGGCCAGUACAAAGGGCUGCGAGACCGUAAGGUGGAGCGAAUCCCAAAGAGCUGGUCUCAGUUCGGAUUGGGGUCUGCAACUCGACCCCAUGAAGUCGG